rnacentral:tRNA from 1 species
ACCUGGGUGGCUCAGUUGGUUAAGCAUCUGACUUCAGCUCAGGUCAUGAUCUCGUGGUUUGUGAGUUUGAGCCCCACUUCAGGCU